GUACGCACUCACGGAACACGGAACCGCAUCUAAAAUAACAUCGACGUUGGCGUUGUUGUCGGGCACGUGGGUCGUCGUCGUCGUUGUUGUGGUUUCUGGGGCGCUUACAGAGGGAGUCGGAAGUGAGUGGUGUCCUUCUAAAGCUUCCAAUUGCUCGAAAAAUCUAUAACUCUUGCUACCGUUGGAUUUGCCACAACGACCUUCCUUGGUUCUCCUAUGGUACUUGUAAAUGUUCUCGAAUUUCUCUUUGCACUUCUUCGAACUCCUGCUAUAACCUAGCUCCGCUAAUUUCCUGAAUAUACAAAAGAUUUUCAAAUUAAUUCAAUCACUACGUUAUCAUAACACAGACAAAAAGAAAUGGUUCAACUUAACUAUGUCCAGCUAGAAUGUAUACCGUGUCGUACAUUUAUGUGUAACACCAGCAUUACUAAUCAGGGAAUAAGCUUGAGAAUAAUGGGGAUUCCAGGGGAAACGAAGAGGGACUUACUUUGAGACUUGGUCCCAGAGAGGGGCUUUGGGGUUUGUAUCUCUGAAAGCAACGUCCA
rnacentral:lncRNA from 1 species